CCUACGGGAGGCUGUAGUGGGGAAUAUUGGACAAUGGGCGAAAGCCUGAUCCAGCCAUGCCGCGUGUGUGAAGAAGGCCUUCGGGUUGUAAAGCACUUUCAGUGGGGAAGAAAGCCUUGGGGCUAAUACCCUCGAGGAAGGACAUCACCCACAGAAGAAGCACCGGCUAACUCCGUGCCAGCAGCCGCGGUAAUACGGAGGGUGCGAGCGUUAAUCGGAAUUACUGGGCGUAAAGCGCGCGUAGGCGGUCUGAUAAGCCGGUUGUGAAAGCCCCGGGCUCAACCUGGGAACGGCAUCCGGAACUGUCAGGCUAGAGUGCAGGAGAGGAAGGUAGAAUUCCCGGUGUAGCGGUGAAAUGCGUAGAGAUCGGGAGGAAUACCAGUGGCGAAGGCGGCCUUCUGGACUGACACUGACGCUGAGGUGCGAAAGCGUGGGUAGCAAACAGGAUUAGAUACCCCGGUAGUC
rnacentral:rRNA from 1 species